AUUGAACGCUGGCGGCAUGCUUUACACAUGCCAGUCGAACGGCAGCGCGGGCUUCGGCCUGGCGGCGAGUGGCGAACGGGUGAGUAAUACAUCGGAACGUGCCCAGUAGUGGGGGAUAGCUCGGCGAAAGCCGGAUUAAUACCGCAUACGACCUGAGGGUGAAAGCGGGGGAUCUUCGGACCUCGCGCUAUUGGAGCGGCCGAUGGCAGAUUAGCUAGUUGGUGGGGUAAAGGCCUACCAAGGCGACGAACUGUAGCUGGUCUGAGAGGGCGACCAGCCACACUGGGACUGAGACACGGCCCAGACUCCUACGGGAGGCAGCAGUGGGGAAUUUUGGACAAUGGGCGAAAGCCUGAUCCAGCAAUGCCGCGUGUGUGAUGAAGGCCUUCGGGUUGUAAAGCACUUUUGGCGGGAACGAAAAGGACUGUGCCAAUACCACGGUUCGAUGACGGUACCCGCAGAAUAAGCACCGGCUAACUACGUG
rnacentral:rRNA from 1 species